rnacentral:rRNA from 1 species
AGUGAACGCUGGCGGUAGACCUAACACAUGCAAGUCGAACGGCAGCACAGUAAGAGCUUGCUCUUACGGGUGGCGAGUGGCGGACGGGUGAGGAAUACAUCGGAAUCUACUUUUUCGUGGGGGAUAACGUAGGGAAACUUACGCUAAUACCGCAUACGACCUACGGGUGAAAGCAGGGGAUCUUCGGACCUUGCGCGAUUGAAUGAGCCGAUGUCGGAUUAGCUAGUUGGCGGGGUAAAGGCCCACCAAGGCGACGAUCCGUAGCUGGUCUGAGAGGAUGAUCAGCCACACUGGAACUGAGACACGGUCCAGACUCCUACGGGAGGCAGCAGUGGGGAAUAUUGGACAAUGGGCGCAAGCCUGAUCCAGCGAUACCGCGUGGGUGAAGAAGGCCUUCGGGUUGUAAAGCCCUUUUGUUGGGAAAGAAAAGCAGCAGGUUAAUACCCCGCUGUUCUGACGGUACCCAAAGAAUAAGCACCGGCUAACUUCGUG